GACGAACGCUGGCGGCGUGCCUAAUACAUGCAAGUCGAACGAACCGCGACUAAGUGCUUGCACUAAGUCAAGGUGAGUGGCGAACGGGUGAGUAACACGUGGGUAACCUACCUCAUAGUGGGGGAUAACAGUCGGAAACGACUGCUAAUACCGCAUAGGACAUAGGAUCACAUGAUCCAGUGAGGAAAGGUGGCGCAAGCUAUCGUUAAGAGAUGGACCCGCGGUGCAUUAGCUAGUUGGUAGGGUAAAGGCCUACCAAGGCGAUGAUGCAUAGCCGACCUGAGAGGGUGAUCGGCCACAUUGGGACUGAGACACGGCCCAAACUCCUACGGGAGGCAGCAGUAGGGAAUCUUCCGCAAUGGACGCAAGUCUGACGGAGCAACGCCGCGUGAGUGAAGAAGGUCUUCGGAUCGUAAAGCUCUGUUGUUAGAGAAGAACAGCGCAUAGAGUAACUGCUAUGCGUGUGACGGUAGCUAACCAGAAAGCCACGGCUAACUACGUG
rnacentral:rRNA from 1 species